GAGGGUAUAGCCCAGAGGGAGAGAGCAUGCUUAGCAUGCUUGAGGUCCUGGGUUCAAUCCCCAGCACCUCCA
rnacentral:tRNA from 1 species